rnacentral:rRNA from 1 species
UACAGAGGUCCCAAGCGUUGUUCGGAUUCACUGGGCGUAAAGGGUGCGUAGGUGGUCGGGUAAGUCCGAUGUGAAAUCUCCAGGCUCAACCUGGAAAUGGCAUUGGAUACUAUCUGGCUUGAGGAGUGGAGGGGGGACUGGAAUUCUCGGUGUAGCAGUGAAAUGCGUAGAUAUCGUAAGGAAGACCAGUGGCGAAGGCGGGUCUCUGGACAGUUCCUGACGCUGAGGCACGAAGGCCAGGGGAGCAAACGGG